AAGUCGUAACAAGGUUUCCGUAGGUGAACCUGCGGAAGGAUCAUUACAGAGUUAGGGUCUUUUAGGCCCGACCUCCCAACCCUUUGUUUACUCAACUCUGGUUGCUUCGGCGAGACCGUCUUCAAGCUCGCGUCCGUCGAUGGCCGACUUCAAAUUCUUGACCAUAAAUCAUGUCUAUUGUCUAAGUAUGAUAUCAAUUCAAAAACAAAAAACUUUCAACAACGGAUCUCUUGGUUCUG
rnacentral:misc_RNA from 1 species